AACGAGGUAGUUCAAAAUUGGUUAGAACAUUAGAAUCAUAAUCUAAUAGUUGUAGGUUCAAAUCCUAUUCUCGUUA
rnacentral:tRNA from 1 species